rnacentral:rRNA from 1 species
UCGUAGGUCGCGCACACCGAGCCGGAGGAGAUCUAAGAGCUCAGAGUGGCUUGCCGCCUGACCAACGCAAACAGACUGCGUGACUGUCUUGCUGUUUUCCUGGCAAAAUAUUUCUUUAGGUCCAUUGGGUCAGGGCGACAGAAAGAUCCCUCCUCCCGUCUUUGGUUUGUUUUUUUAGCUUUUCCCCUACACUUUAGAUUGUUUGGGUGUUCGGGAAUGCUUGCUAGAUUGGCCCACCCCCUCAUCGAUUUUGGAAUAUUGCCGAGAACCCCCAACGGUUCCCUUACAGAGAGGGAAAGAUGAAAAAAACUUUGAUUCAAAGUUCUUUUGAUUGUUCCAAUGCGAAAGGGGAACGCCUUGGAGUUCUGUCGGCUAUCUAGCUAUCCGUCUGAGUGUCCACCCGGUUGAGCUUGGCCUCCCUGCCUGCCUGUGACUUUUUGACUUGAACAAAAAAACUAAAGGCUCUGUCGCCCGAUUGUGUUCUCCACAGACCCUAAGACCAGAUCUAGAGUAGUAAUGAACGCCGCUUGGCAGGCUUUUUCUCCAGCUGUCCACGAUCAGUUUCAGAUGUACCACGGUGGCUCGGUUUAUCAUCUCGGUCAUACUCCUACGCGGUUACGUUGGUGACUCUAAGGACUCUUCUUUACCCGCCCCUGAAAAAAAUACACA